UUGUUGUUAUUAUUAUUAUUAUUACAUCACUAAUCAUUGAAGAAAAAAAUCACAAAGUUAACUAACCCCCAACUAAUUCGUUAGAGACUUAGUUCUUCCUUCAAAGUAGAACAAACAGAACCAUAUUCAACUAAUUCUUCCCACAAAAUAAAAAACCCCAACUAAUUUUUCCCACAAAAUCGAACAAACAAAACCAAAUUGCCCCUAUGUUAUUCCAACUCUCAUAAUUUCGCUCACCUAUUCCUAAUAGAUUAACCCCAAAAUAGCAUCAAAUUUGAUUUUGAUUUCGAUUAAAUUAAUACUCCGUAUCAACUUUUAAUUUGUUGGUGUAGAUUGAAGAGAGUAAAGAAUCAAAUAUAGAUAGUUUGUUGCCAUCUUCUAAUAAUAUCUUGGUGCAACCUGAAAAUAGCAGCGGGUAGAUCGAGGAAGAAACAAAGACAAUUCUAAGGCAGUCUGAUGCUGUAGGAAAUAUUGCUUGAGUAACUACCUUGAACCUGUCUACCCCCGAGCUGCAAUGUGCUUGAUGAUACACGCUAUAAAGAAGCUCCACAAGGCACUUUUUGAAGGUCUAGCAACAUUUUUCAAACCUUAUGGUCUGAAAUUGAUCUUGCUUUCCUAUCCUCACAAUGCUGACCAGACGAUUGAGUAGCUUCAAUUACUAGACCGCUUGAAAGUUUUAUGGCGGGUUCUCUGCGAUCUCAUUGUAUUCAUAAUGACUCGUCAUAGAACUUGUAUCAUCUAAACUUAUGCUUAGGAGGAUUCUCAAGAAACUCAUGACUAGCUGAAGGUACAUAGCAUAUAAUGAUAUACACCAAAAGUGCUACUAAGUCAGAUAAAAGGCGAAGCAUUUCAAACAUGCCAGAACACUAUAUGGAUGUAUGAGUAGGCUUAACACUAUACCACAACAUUCUUAUGGGGAGGGAGAACCUUAAAUACAUGAAUUGUUAUCUCCUCCCACAACCCCCAAAAUAAGAAAGUCGGUUCCCGUUUGUAGGGAGGCGAUCAUUUUGUACUUCUUAAAGUUCUUGUUAGUUUGGCACAAGGUUGUAAAUUGAUUGAAAUUGAUUUGUUUAUGAACGUGGACGUCCAUGAGAAGGCUCAUCUUGAACUAUAAUUUAUGAACAUAGACUUGUUAUUGCAA